CAUCUACAUUAACUAUGUAACGUUUCUUGCCGACCCACCUGUCUCUGCCUCUUCCGUCGUCGUCUUUGAAGCCAACGUCAACACUUCUAUGGAGUCAAUGGUUGAACCUUUCCUGCCCAAAUCCAUAGGUUUUCAAAAAUUUCCAUGAGUGAAGGUCUUUCCACCACAAGCAAUAGUUGUCUAUUUAUGAUUAGCGAUUGGGAACAGGACUUCAGCCAUCGGAGUUGUAUCUAUGCCAUUUCGUAAUCUUAACUUUCAUACGAAUAAAUAAUUUUAAAGAA